AGCGAACGCUGGCGGCAGGCCUAAUACAUGCAAGUCGAACGGCUCUUCGGAGCAGUGGCGGACGGGUGAGUAACGCGUGGGAACGUGCCCUUUGGUUCGGAACAACACAGGGAAACUUGUGCUAAUACCGAAUGUGCCCUUCGGGGGAAAGAUUUAUCGCCAUUGGAGCGGCCCGCGUUGGAUUAGGUAGUUGGUGGGGUAAAGGCCUACCAAGCCUACGAUCCAUAGCUGGUCUGAGAGGAUGAUCAGCCACACUGGGACUGAGACACGGCCCAGACUCCUACGGGAGGCAGCAGUAGGGAAUCUUGCGCAAUGGGCGAAAGCCUGACGCAGCCAUGCCGCGUGAAUGAUGAAGGUCUUAGGAUUGUAAAAUUCUUUCACCGGGGAAGAUAAUGACGGUACCCGGAGAAGAAGCCCCGGCUAACUUCGUGCCAGCAGCCGCGGUAAUACGAAGGGGGCUAGCGUUGCUCGGAAUUACUGGGCGUAAAGGGCGCGUAGGCGGACAGUUAAGUCAGAGGUGAAAGCCCAGGGCUCAACCUUGGAAUUGCCUUUGAUACUGGCUGUCUUGAGUUCGGGAGAGGUGAGUGGAAUGCCGAGUGUAGAGGUGAAAUUCGUAGAUAUUCGGCGGAACACCAGUGGCGAAGGCGACUCACUGGCCCGAUAC
rnacentral:rRNA from 1 species